rnacentral:rRNA from 1 species
UACGUAGGGGGCAAGCGUUGUCCGGAAUUAUUGGGCGUAAAGCGCGUGUAGGCGGCCAGAAAAGUCCGCUGUGAAAACUCGAGGCUCAACUUCGAGUUGUCGGUGGAAACUUUCUGGCUAGAGUCCGGAAGAGGAGAAUGGAAUUCCUGGUGUAGCGGUGAAAUGCGCAGAUAUCAGGAGGAACACCGAUGGCGAAGGCAGUUCUCUGGGCCGUAACUGACGCUGGAGGAGCGAAAGCGUGGGGAGCGAACAGG